GUCGCCAAGUUUCCCACACUACCACCACUCUCCCUGGACCCAGAGCACACACCGCGGCGUCCCUCUUGUGGGUGCCUUGCCAAGACCAUUCACUUUCCUACGCCCUUGAAGUCAUUGCUGUGGGUCGUGGCUACACUGCACAAGGUUGAGUAAAGACCACAAGCCUGCUGAGCCGCCCCCUGGAGGCUGCCGUGCUGUGAGGGGAUAAGGGGAGUAAGGGAGCAGGGAGAGUGGGGAGACUCGAGAGAG